CAAUAGCGUAUAUUAAAGCUGUUGCAGUUAAAAGCUCGUAGUCGGAUCUCGGGCGGCGGCCAAUGGUUCGGUUCCGUGCCGAUACUGCUGGUCGCGGCCUCCACGCCGGUCGUCUUUCGGUGCUCUUAACUGAGUGCCUUAAGUAGCCGGAGCGUUUACUUUGAAAAAUUAGAGUGUUCAAGGCAGGCCUCGAGCCUGAAUGAUGGUGCAUGGAAUAAUGGAAUAGGACCUCGGUUCUAUUUUGUUGGUCUUCGGAACUGGAGGUAAUGAUUAAUAGGGACGGACGGGGGCAUUCGUAUUGCGGCGUUAGAGGUGAAAUUCUUGGAUCGUCGCAAGACGGACUACUGCGAAAGCAUUUGCCAAGAAUGUUUUCAUUGAUCAAGAGCGAAAGUCAGAGGAUCGAAGACGAUCAGAUACCGU
rnacentral:rRNA from 1 species